GAAUUAUUGGGCGUAAAGCGCGUGUAGGCGGUCUUUUAAGUCUGAUGUGAAAGCCCCGGGCUCAACCUGGGAAGUGCAUUGGAAACUGGGAGGCUUGAGUACGGGAGAGGAGAGUGGAAUUCCUAGUGUAGGAGUUAAAUCCGUAGAUAUUAGGAGGAACACCGGUGGCGAAGGCGGCUCUCUGGACCGAUACUGACGCUGAGACGCGAAAGUCGUGGGUAGCAAACAGGAUUAGAUACCCUGGUAGUCCACGCCGUAAACGAUGAGUACUAGGUGUUGCGGGUAUUGACCCCUGCAGUGCCGUAGCUCACGCAUUA
rnacentral:rRNA from 1 species